rnacentral:lncRNA from 1 species
GUUAAUGUACGUUGUUGAUGUAUGUGGUUUUGAUGAGGGUUAUAGUUCGAUUUAGGUCUAGCAGAAAGAAUUUAGGGUUUGGGGUUUUUGGAAUUUUGGCUUCAUGUUGUUGUUUGGAUGUUUGAUUGUUGAUUAGGAGGUCAAUAUCUAUGAUUUGAUGUUGUUUUCAUUGUAUUUGGGUUUGUUUUUAAGGAUUUCUGGAAAAAU